GAUGGUUUGGCUAGUGCCAUGGGGGGAUGUUUUGGAUUUGCACUCUGGGAUGUUGUCAGCCAGUCAUGUAUAGACUCAGCAUUUCACGAGGUGGCAUCCAUACUGGGAGGUGAUGGGCUCAACUGCCUCAUAAACAACGCAGCUGAUCUGAAGACAGUGACACCUGACGACUUUCGAGAGCAUUUCUGCCAUUGCUCCAGGCAGCUGCUGCACGGACCACUGUAAUGGGGAUCAAUAGGGCAGCUGUGAUAAACAUCUCUUCCAUACUGGGCUCCAUUAAGGCCAAUUGGGGAGCCGGAGCAGCCUUCAAAAGCUAUGCUUACAGGACCUCAAAGGCUGCCUUGAACAUGGCGACAAGUUGUCUGGCCAUUGACCUGGAAUCUGUGUAUAGCCCUUCACCCUGGCUGGGUGCGCACUGAUGUAGGUGGCCCAUAUCAUUUCCUGUCUAUUAUGGAAUAGGCGGAUUUGAGUGCGGAGGAUCAUCUUUGCUGUCUCUGACAGAAAAGCAUCAUGGAGGAUUCUUCAACAACUCUGGAAACAAGCUACCAUGGUGAAGCUCAACUUUGAAACAGUAACUUGUGUAAUGUGCAGUUGUACUGCCGACAAUUCACUGGGACAAAACACUGUGCAGAGAUCAUAGAAUACAAUGCACAAUUGCAACAUCAUGCUGUUAGGUUGCUCUGCAAUCUCUGAUUUCUUUGUAUUUAGUUGGCGUGAGAGAGAAGCUGGAGACUUGACAUUUUAAAUGUGGGAUUUAAAAAACAAAUCUGAGUUGUUUGGGUUGUUGCACUUUCUAAGGUAAUCUCACUGUUUGCAUAGAACAACUAUAUACUGUAUAAUCAAUAUAUAGAAACAAAAAAGUCUUGCCAUUCAAAAAGUUUUAUUCAAUACAUUUCUUUCAAAUUAUAAUAGGAACAUGUUUACUCUGUAUAGGAGAUUGUUGUAAAUCAUGACACCAGUAUCCAGUAUAAUGGGAUAUGCACAGACAAUGUACUUUGCAGGCUUUUGAAGAGAUGAGAAUAGAUCAAUGAAUGUUGAAGUUGAACUAGGGCUGACUCAUCUCUUCUGAUGUGAGCAAGGAAGGCAGGGUAUCCAGAGCUCCGAUUUCUGGAAAGUAGAUGAAAAAACAUUUGAGUGAGUACAGUCAGAUGGUUAUAUCUGAUCAGUACUAUGCUAGUAAGUUGUUCUGUUCCAAAUAUGUUUUUUAACUAUAUACUGCCAGGAAUCUGACUACAAAUGUAAAUACUACAUCAAAAUAUGAUCAUUUUACUCUGGAACAUGUCAACAUAACCGUUUAUGAUAUGAAUAAAACUCCUGAUGGAGU